rnacentral:rRNA from 1 species
UGGGGAAUAUUGCACAAUGGGCGCAAGCCUGAUGCAGCCAUGCCGCGUGUAUGAAGAAGGCCUUCGGGUUGUAAAGUACUUUCAGCGGGGAGGAAGGCGUUGUGGUUAAUAACCACAGCGAUUGACGUUACCCGCAGAAAGAAGCACCGGGCUAACUCCGUGCCAGCGCCGCGGUAAUACGGAGGGUGCAAGCGUUAAUCGGAAUUACUGGGCGUAAAGCGCACGCAGGCGGUCUGUCAAGUCGGAUGUGAAAUCCCGGCUCAACCUGGGAACUGCAUUCGAAACUGGCAGGCUAGAGUCUUGUAGA